CAUUGAAAUACUGGCUCCCGUAUGAUCACCGAAGUUAAGCAAUGUCGAGGCUGUUCAGUACCUUGAUGGGUGACUGGGAAUAUCAGAUGC